GGUAAAAAGAGACACUGUCAUGGAGUUGCUCUCUUUGUGGACGCCGUCCGAAACAACGACGAUAUUUUAUCUACUCUGUCACGUCCUGAGGAACGUUGGAAGCUAUCGAAUGUCGUCGAGAAGUUAACGAGUAAAAUAUAAAAACAAGGAGAAACGAAUUAAAGAACGUGGACCGUAUGUCGAGGUCAACGACAGAAUCGUUGGAACGAAUCCAAAAAAAUAUUUCUCAUUGUAGAGACCGCAAAAGUCGAUGCUUGUAAACGCGAUAGAGAAGUCUCAGCUUGGAACACGUUCCAUUGUUCUCUUUCUCUCUCAUACACGCUUCCUGUAUUUUGCGUCGUCGAUUUUAAUUAUUCCUAUUUCUUCUCCCUUCCGUGUUUGUGACACGUUGAACUUCAAUACCUGUCCCUUAUUUCUUUCUGUAACCGUGUAUAGUAUCUUUAUUUCUUUUUCUUUUUAUAUAAGCAAUUAUCUAUUUUGCAAAUACGUAUACUCACUUGCUUAACGUAGCUAUAGACAUUUAAAUGCAUCUUCUCCGGUGUGGUUAGAAAGGCACAACAUACGCAUUGUCCUCCCCUUACGUCACUUCGUAGAAAUUGUCGAACUCGUGUGAUCGUCUAUGCGUAAACUAAAAGAAGAAAGGAAAAGAAAAAAAGAGGAUAAAAAGAAGAAGAUAAAACGUCGAGAGAGAAAGACAUCUCGACAAUGAACGAUCGAAACAAUAGCGGCGAAACUAUCUGAAUGAAAGGGAAUGUCGAAAUCAUCGAAGGAAACGUAACACCCAUCGUCGUAUUUCAUUGCUUUCUGUUCGCUCUACGAAACUCUAUGAAAUAUUUCCUUUCCAAGUACAUCCUUCGAGCGUAUCUGUUUGUCA